rnacentral:rRNA from 1 species
UACGGAGGGUGCAAGCGUUGUCCGGAAUCACUGGGCGUAAAGGGCGCGUAGGCGGCUCGGUAAGUAGGGGGUGAAAUCCUGCGGCUCAACCGCAGGGCUGCCUUCUAAACUGUCGAGCUCGAGCACGGUAGAGGCAGAUGGAAUUCCCGGUGUAGCGGUGGAAUGCGUAGAGAUCGGGAGGAACACCUGUGGCGAAAGCGGCGCACUGGACCAUAACUGACGCUGAGGCGCGAAAGCUAGGGGAGCAAACAGG